AUUGAACGCUGGCGGCAGGCCUAACACAUGCAAGUCGAACGAGCGGCGGACGGGUGAGUAAUGUCUGGGGAACUGCCCGAUGGAGGGGGAUAACUAAUGGAAACGGUAGCUAAUACCGCAUACUAUCGGAUGAACCCAGAUGGGAUUAGCUAGUAGGUGGGGUAACGGCUCACCUGGGCGACGAUCUCUAGCUGGUCUGAGAGGAUGACCAGCCACACUGGGACUGAGACACGGCCCAGACUCCUACGGGAGGCAGCAGUGGGGAAUAUUGCACAAUGGGCGCAAGCCUGAGGCAGCCAUGCCGCGUGUAUGAAGAAGGCCUUAGGGUUGUAAAGUACUUUCAGCGGGGAGGCGUUACCCGCAGAAUAAGCACCGGCUAACUCCGUGCCAGCAGCCGCGGUAAUAC
rnacentral:rRNA from 1 species